UACGGAGGAUGCGAGCGUUAUCCGGAUUUAUUGGGUUUAAAGGGUGCGUAGGCGGAGUGUCAAGUCAGCGGUAAAAUUUCGGGGCUCAACCCCGUCGUGCCGUUGAAACUGUCGAGCUUGAGUGAAGUAGAGGUAGGCGGAAUUCCCGGUGUAGCGGUGAAAUGCGUAGAGAUCGGGAGGAACACCAGUGGCGAAGGCGGCCUACUGGGCUUUAACUGACGCUGAGGCACGAAAGCGUGGGUAGCAAACAGG
rnacentral:rRNA from 1 species